rnacentral:rRNA from 1 species
ACUCAAAGGAAUUGACGGGGGCCCGCACAAGCAGUGGAGCAUGUGGUUUAAUUCGAUGCAACGCGAAGAACCUUACCCAGGCUCGAAAUGCAGAUGACACUACCAGAGAUGGUAGCAUCCGAAAGGACAACUGUAUAGGUGCUGCAUGGCUGUCGUCAGCUCGUGCCGUGAGGUGUUGGGUUAAGUCCCGCAACGAGCGCAACCCUUAUCAUUAGUUGCCAACACGAAAGGUGGGGACUCUAAUGAGACUGCCUAGGUUAACUAGGAGGAAGGUGAGGAUGACGUCAAGUCCGCAUGGCCUUUAUGUCUGGGGCUACACACGUGCUACAAUGGUCGGUACAGAAGGCAGCAAAGCCGCGAGGUAGAGCAAAUCCGCAAAGCCGAUCUCAGUUCAGAUUGUAGUCUGCAAUUCGACUACAUGAAGCUGGAAUUGCUAGUAAUGACGUGUCAGCCACAACGUCGUGAAUACGUUCCCGGGCCUUGUACACACCGCCCGU